GGGGGGGUAUUAAUGGCAGNNUCGACGAAGCAUGGCGUUUGGAAUUUUUCGGAAUGGAAGGUGCCAUGACUGAGUGGCGGACGGGUGAGUAACGCGUGGGCAACCUGCCCCACACAGGGGGAUAACAGCCGGAAACGGCUGCUAAUACCGCAUAAGCGCACAGCUUCGCAUGGAGCGGUGUGAAAAGCCUUCGGGCGGUGUGGGAUGGGCCCGCGUCUGAUUAGCUGGUUGGCGGGGCAGCGGCCCACCAAGGCGACGAUCAGUAGCCGGCCUGAGAGGGUGGACGGCCACAUUGGGACUGAGACACGGCCCAAACUCCUACGGGAGGCAGCAGUGGGGAAUAUUGCACAAUGGGGGAGACCCUGAUGCAGCGACGCCGCGUGAGCGAAGAAGUAUUUCGGUAUGUAAAGCUCUAUCAGCAGGGAAGAAAAUGACGGUACCUGACUAAGAAGCCCCGGCUAACUACGUGCCAGCAGCCGCGGUAAUACGUAGGGGGCAAGCGUUAUCCGGAUUUAUUGGGCGUAAAGCGAGCGCAGGCGGUUGCUUAGGUCUGAUGUGAAAGCCUUCGGCUUAACCGAAGAAGUGCAUCGGAAACCGGGCGACUUGAGUGCAGAAGAGGACAGUGGAACUCCAUGUGUAGCGGUGGAAUGCGUAGAUAUAUGGAAGAACACCAGUGGCGAAGGCGGCUGUCUGGUCUGCAACUGACGCUGAGGCUCGAAAGCAUGGGUAGCGAACAGGAUUAGAUGCCCU
rnacentral:rRNA from 1 species